GGGGUCCCCAUCUCCAUCCCAUGGGGUUCUCCAUACUCAUCCCAUCAGAGUCCCCACAUCCAUCCCACUGGGGUCCCUAUCUCCAUCCCAUUGGGGUCUGCGUAUCCAUCCCACUGGGGUCCCCAUCUCCAUCCCACUGGCAUCCCUAUCUCCAUCCCAUUGGGGUCUAUGUAUCCAUCCCACUGGGGUCCCCAUGUGCCCACUCCACCAGCGUCCUCAUGUCCAUCCCAUUGGGGUCUGCAUAUCCAUCCCACUGGGGUCCCCAACUCCAUCCCAUGGGGUUCUCCAUACCCAUCCCAUCAGACUCCCCACACCCACCCCACUGUUCUCCCCGCUCCCCAGCCCAGGGGGUGCAGCCCGAGUUGGCUGAGAGCUGAUGGGUUCGGGCGGCGAUGUGAAGACUCCCUAUUAAUAUUUAUUCCAUCAAGCAGCUCCGCGCUGCUCCGCCGUGCUCUGACCGCAGCACCAACCCUCAGGCACCACAAACACAAUUGGAAAACAAUGUGACGGAAAUGUUUAAUCUGCUCAGCCCAUCUGUGCUGCGUAUUUCUCCAGAUCUCCCUGAGAGAGGCGCCUUCGAAUCUCCACAUUGCCUUUAAUAUUCUCCUAAAUCACCUCCCCACCGCACUUCAAGGGCCAUUGCUACAAUAUCACAGGGUUGGUGUUCCUGUGCCCCUCGGACAGACGUGGGGAGAGGAGAAAAGGAAUAGGGGCCAAUUAUUUUCGCCUUUUAAAGCCUGAUGGAAGCGAGCAGCCGCCCGUGUUCGGCUCUGCCCGUGACCUGUGAAGAGGGCUGGGUGGUAAUUGUGCACAUGUGUGCGAGGAGCCGAGCUGUGAGCAGAGGGAUGGGAGCGGGGGGGGGGGGGGGGAUGCGGCCAAGUGUGACCCCCCCGACCCCCCCAGGGGCCAAAUGUGAUCCCCCCAUUGAGUCACCGGGCAUGGAGCAACUCCCACCUUCCUCCCUGCAUUGGGAUUUGGGGUGUCCACCCCUUGGAUCCCAUCCUUUGCCUAUGAUGCCUUCCCAUGACCCCCUCCAAACCCCCCCCUGGGUCACCGGGCAUGGCACAAACCCCUGCUUCUUCCAUGCAUUGGGAUUUGGGGUGCACACCCCUUGGAUCCCAUCCUUUGCCCACAGUCCCAUCCCAUGACCCCCCCAGCCCCCCUCCCAGGGUGAACCAGGCAUAGAGCAAAUCCCAGCUUGCUCCCUGCAUUGGGAUUUGGGGUGCACACCCCUUGGAUCCCAUCCUUUGCCCAUGAUCUCUUCCCAUGA